rnacentral:sRNA from 1 species
GCCAGUCCUGUUUGUUGUGUCAUUGUCAUCUUGAAGCGCUGUUCCCAGGAAUCCGCCGCGCUGGACAAGGGUGUCUUCUAGUGCGGGGUUAUGUUCCCCACGAUCCCAUGGAGUGGUCUCAUUCUUCCACAGCUCAUCCCACCCUUCAACCUGCUUUUCCAGUGGGAAUUUGGAGAAAUGCUCGCUUAAUUUGGGUUGGUAAACUGAUGGUUUCGACAUGGUGCACAUUCUGCUAUCGGUUCCGGAGCUCGUAGUAAAAAGCGGUAGUGGUGAGCGGGAACAGUAGAUGUUUUCGGGUCAAAGAAAACGGAUCAUUCUUUGGUAUGGCUCGGCUCCAACCGGACUAAUAAGCUAUUCUAUGAUGAAAGCUGGUAGCUAGCUCCUCUGAGUAUAGCUUGGAGAGUUUGGGGGCAUCCCCAAACUCUAUCUAAGCUUCUCUAACUUCUAAUCGGGAAAU